rnacentral:rRNA from 1 species
GACGAACGCUGGCGGCGUGCUUAACACAUGCAAGUCGAACGGAAAGGCCCUGCUUUUGUGGGGUGCUCGAGUGGCGAACGGGUGAGUAACACGUGAGUAACCUGCCCUUGACUUUGGGAUAACUUCAGGAAACUGGGGCUAAUACCGGAUAGGAGCUCCUGCUGCAUGGUGGGGGUUGGAAAGUUUCGGCGGUUGGGGAUGGACUCGCGGCUUAUCAGCUUGUUGGUGGGGUAGUGGCUUACCAAGGCUUUGACGGGUAGCCGGCCUGAGAGGGUGACCGGCCACAUUGGGACUUGGGUACGGCCCAGACUCCUACGGGAGGCAGCAGUGGGGAAUAUUGCACAAUGGGCGGAAGCCUGAUGCAGCAACGCCGCGUGCGGGAUGACGGCCUUCGGGUUGUAAACCGCUUUCGCCUGUGACGAAGCGUGAGUGACGGUAAUGGGUAAAGAAGCACCGGCUAACUACGU